rnacentral:rRNA from 1 species
AGCGGCAGGCUUAACACAUGCAAGUCGAGGGGUAACAGGGGAGCUUGCUUCCGCUGACGACCGGCGAACGUGCGUAACGCGUAUAGAAUCUGCCUUGUACAGGAGGAUAGCCUUUAGAAAUGAAGAUUAAUACUCCAUAAUACUGANAUGUGGCAUCACGAUUUAGUUAAACAUUUAUGGGUACAAGAUGACUAUGCGUCCUAUUAGCUAGAUGGUAAGGUAACGGCUUACCAUGGCAACGAUAGGUAGGGGGUCUGAGAGGAUUAUCCCCCACACUGGUACUGAGANGGACCAGACUCCUACGGGAGGCAGCAGUGAGGAAUAUUGGUCAAUGGAGGCAACUCUGAACCAGCCAUGCCGCGUGCAGGAAGACUGCCCUAUGGGUUGUAAACUGCUUUUAUACAGGAAGAAACAGAUCUACGUGUAGGUCCUUGACGGUACUGUAAGAAUAAGCACCGGCUAACUCCGUGCCAGCAGCCGCGGUAAUAC